AACAUGGCGUCCCACAGGAAUGAACUGGUGCAGGAGUUGUGGCUAGCAAUACUCCUUCUUAUCGUUGUCGACAUUUCAGAGGAAAUUUCCGUUACACUCGUUAAUCAGCCAAUUAGAGCCAAGGAUUCCGACGUGAUGGUCGAGUUACCAUGUGACUUCAAGAUGACAACGUACGAGACUCCACAAAUCACGUGGUUCCAAGAGAAAGUUGGACAGAGGAUACAAAUCAUGCAGUAUGACAUUCACAACCGCUUAUCUUCUUAUGGCGAGUUUUAAAAACCGUGUUGCCCGGGGAGACCGAGGAUCUCUGGUUCUGUUCCAGCCAAGGUCAGAAGAUUCGGGUAACUACACGUGCGAGGUCGAAGUGGACAACGAAACCCCCAGCUGGGUAAAAAGCACGAUCACCCUACAAAUAUCAGAUUCUAGCCUAACAGACAGAGUUACUGCCCUUUGCGGUUUGUCAUGAUUUCCCUGUACUGGCUUGUCUCGGUGGUGUGUGCAUUUCUUACCGGCAGAGAUCCCAAGAGCCUCUUUCGGAAUGCUUGUACAAAACAACAGACAACAUGUGUUUUCAUCUGUCUGGUGAUUAUAUGCGCCAUGGGUCUGACACUCGCAGGGGCCAUAUUUGCAGCUAGCGCCUUUCAUACCUCGCUCAGUUAUAAUUACAUCUUGGCAGCGUCGCUUGGAACUGGAAUCCCAGGAAGCCUGAUGUUUCUUGCGGUAGCCUUCAUGUGGCCAUGCUUUCCAGAGAACUGGUGGUGUAAGAAAAAAUACCGUGAAAUAUUUGACAAUUGCACAUCUUCUGCAACGCCUGGUUCGGAGGUUAGGUUCUCCAAGACAGAAGUACAACCGGAAGAGAGGGCACCUCUGUACCGAACAACAAAUAUCACGCAUAUUUCUAAAGAGAAUACAAAAGUGACUUCGGUACAAAACCCCGAUGGAGAUAAUAUCACAGGCAUGACCUCUUUGUCGUACAAAAAUGUUUACGUUACAACAACGUCUUCUUUGUAUAACAUAAACGUAGAUGAAGAAGACGAAAAAGCACAGUUUAAGCUUGUUUCUGACAGAGAAGAACAAUUGCUGUCGCUUGGAAAUUUCAAAGAUGGCUUGUUGGUAUGCGCACGGCAAAAAAACUGACAAGGAACAAAACACGAGCUAUUUUAUACAUUGUAGCCCAGAGAAUAAACUAUCUAAGAUUUUUCUCAACGUGAAGUCUACCAUAUUGUGGUGUCAGGCAGAUCGAGCUAACAGACAUGUGUACACAGCAUUUUCAGAUCCUGACCAUGUGGUGAAAUUAGACUGGGAGAAAAAAAAUGGACCUGUCAUGUGGAAAAAUGUCUUGAAGAAACCCGUGUGUAUAGUUCGGAACUCGCGUGGGCAGUUAAUUGUGGCAGAUGCUGUCAAAAAUGACCUCUUCGUAUUUGACGAAACUGAUGACUUUUUGUCAACUAUGAAAGUCUCUGUGCCUAGGGAACAUGAACACAAGCUAAACGGGUGUAACAGGCUGGCUGUAGCGCCUGACGACACAGUCUUUGCCUCCAGUCCGUUUUGUGACGACGUGCUUGUCUUUGCUCCGGACUUUCGUUUCCGUACUCUGCUGCGUGGAGACGCUUUUGCCAGCGGCGGAAUAUCCUGUCUUCUCGCAGACAGCCAUUCGUUAUACGUCGCUGAUGGUGACUGCAUUCACGUUGUGUCCCUUACACAAAUAAACUUCUAGACCUUGGUCUAUGUCAAUACCGAUAAGUUAAAGAUGUUUUGGCUGUCACUGGCAACAAGAGCAACCAAUGGCAAACCGGAAAAAUGUGAGUGUAACUGCUUUGCACAGUGUAGUGUUAAUGCUUUGCACAGUGUGGUGUGUUAUGUGAACAACUGCCGUUACCUUCUAAAUUUAGCUUGCCACUGUUUACAUAUGCUGAGUUCAGGCCCUGCUGUCUGCCUCUGCCUUAGAGUAUUCCAGAAUACGAAUUUUCUUAGUCUAGAAAAUUCCACCAGUCUAUAUAAGACCUAUGAAAGCAGGUCAACGGAGGAGAAAGGAGAAUUAUUGAGAGUUUUGGAUGCUUUCGCUGUGUGUUACUUUUUAGUAGGCCUUUUGUGCUGAAUUUUGGUGUCUUUAUAGCCUCUGGCUUUGUUCUAUCAUAUCUUCACCGAGCACUUGUUCAGUUUGAACUUGUAUAUUUGAUUUGUGCUCCUGUGUACACAGUACUUAUUAGUACUCGGACCCUGUCUGUGGAAUUUUGUGUAUAUUUCGUCAUACACUCAGUUAUACUGUGGAUUUUCCCUCUUGUGAAUAUUGCCUCUGUCCAUUUUUAAGCAUUGUGGAGUAUAUACGUCCGUUUGGACUUGACAAUGUUGUACAUGUAAGUACUUUAUUAUUUGUAUAGAUACUGCUAUCCUUCCUUGUUAAACUUAAGUACUUUAGUAUUUGCCUAAAUCUUGUCAUCUGUUGUUGUUUAACCUAAUAAAUUGUUGAAAAAUAAAAUCUGCUGGUUUUGGUUACUUUUUUGUGCGGCUAAACUGUCGUGAAUUUCGAACAAGCCAUCUCUUUAUAAUACAGACAGUUUGGGUCGUAACAAGUGCUACUGAUUUGCACAGUGUAGUGUUAAUGCUUUGCACAGUGUAGUGUAACUGCUUUGCACAGU